rnacentral:rRNA from 1 species
GUCCUUUUGAUUUAUAAUUAAAGGUCUAGUCUGCCCACUGAAAAUUUUUAAAUGGCUGCGGUAUUUUGACCGUACUAAGGUAGCAUAAUCAUUAGUUUCUUAAUUAGAAGCUAGUAUGAAUGGCUGGAUAAGAAAAAAACUGUCUCAAUUUAAUUUUAUAUGAAUUUUAUUUUUAAGUAAAAAAGCUUAAAUGUUUUUAAAAGACGAGAAGACCCUAUAGAGUUUUAUAAUUUUGAGAUUUUAAAUUUUUAGGAUUAUAAUUUUAAAAUUUAGAGUUUAUUUGGUUGGGGUGAUUGAAAAAUUUAAUUAACUUUUUUUAUUUUAGACCAUUAAUUAAUGAAUUUUUGAUCCAUAAAAGUGAUUAUAAGAUUAAAUUACCUUAGGGAUAACAGCGUAAUUUUUUUUGAGAGUUCAAAUUGAAAAAAGAGAUUGCGACCUCGA